ACUUGGACAGCUGGGAAUGACAGAUCCACACUUAUUAAACUCGAAUAUUUUAUUACCAUUUAUAUCACCUCACCGUUUUAGCAUAAACAUAUCAUCUCCCGCAAGAGUUUACCAUGAUAACAGAAAUCGUACUAGUGGCGAGAAAGGCGUCUUUUUCCUUUCCCGUUUCGUUCUUCAUUACUUCGUAUGGGGGUUGUUCUAUUCAUUACAUGAAUUGUGGAUGAUUAAUUUUCAGUAUUUCCUUUCCGAACCCUAAUUUUGGGUUUAAUUCUUUUCAGAUUAAUGAUUGACUCAGAUUGAAUAGGAAAGCAAGACUGGCGUCAUUGUGCAACUUAAGGUAUUAUUUUGACAACAACCUUGGGAAAACAUGGGAGAAGCUGGGAGUUUACUAGGAAGACUACUAAUGGUUUUUAGUGUUGCCUUUAAGAACCCUGGACAUCAUUGUUUAUUCUGCUUGGCCAUAUAGACAUGUAGUGGUGCUAUUAUGGUAUUGAAUAAUCAAAGGGGUGGCAAUGCUCAAUGGUCUGUUGCUGUUUAAGCCAUUGCAGCUGGUACAUAUUGGACAAGUGCAGGUAAUAAUUCAUGGAUGGAACAACCGAACAGGAAACAAAGAACAAAAAACGGCAUGGUAUCCUUGAUGAUCUGUGCACUCUUGAAGGUUAGAGGGGUGUUUACUGGCCUAAAAGAUCCUUCAAAUCCUGAAAUUACAUGUAACCAGCAGACAAUAUUAAGUUCGAAUUUUAUUAGCGAAUCAGCACUGUUUUGCUUAUUAAGAAAUAAGAGAAAAAAAAAUUUUCAUUACGGCAGUCUACUAGCCAUCUAAUGGGUGCUGGAAAAUACUCAAAAACAUGCAUACUGACAAGCAUGAAACUCCUUGGAAUCUAUAGCAUAAUUAUGUGCUUACAAGCAUGAAACUCCUUGGAAUCAAUCACACUGGAUUACAUUGUUUCCUGCAUCAUAAAGGUGUCUUUAAACUUCCAUCUUUGCUCAAAGUCUCGAUGGAUGUUUCCAAGGGAAUGAAUUAUUUGUAUCAAAACAAUGUAAUCCAGUGUGAUUGAAGGCUGUUAAUCUUCUAAUGGAUGAGAAGGAGGUGAAGGAGACCUAAAUGACAAUAUUUAUUCCGUUUUUGUGCAUCAAGCUAUUGAGGCUGCUGAUUUUGGAGUUGGCAGAGUGCAAGUUCAACUGGAACAUAACAUUGGAUGGCUGCAAGGGGAAAUUAAUUCGGAGCAAGAAAUCGAGUUAUAAGAAUUCUGGGUUAUUGUUUGGCAGAGAAUAGGGAAGAAAUAUGAUCUUGCUGCCAUCUUUUCAAGUGAUUUUAAUGGAUAAAAUAUCGAGUAUUCAUAUAUACGAUCAAGAGAUAUGGGGUUUGCUUUGGAUGCGAAUUCUCUGCAGGGAAAUCAAUUUGAAGUAACUAAUUGAGACAUGAAGAUAAAAACAAAACCACCAGUUGAAAGACACAAAGUGUUUGAAAGAAAGCCUGAACCAUUACCAGCUUAGUUCCAUUACGUCGUUGUCAUGGGUACGAGGUAGAAUUUGAAGUGGAUAUGGAACUGAAGGUUGGGUUAAAUGGUUCGAUGUUGAGGACGAUAUCAUUCCUGCUCUUGAGAAAGGUGCUAGCUGUUUUGUGGAGAGAAGCGUACGGGUUCAGUCAGUAUCAUAGGUGGUGGUUUUGGCGGUAUCUCAGUCUCUCUCGCUCUUCAUGAUUGCCUCCAUUCAGGUUGCGGGAAAAUACCCCAGUUAAUAUCAUGGCUAACAGUGGAUGGUUAUGAUGGGGAUUGCAUUACGAAUCUGAUCAUAUGGGGAGGUAAAUCUUGCUUCUGUCACAUACUAAGACAAGUCUUUUUAAUCACGGACCCGUGGCGCAAUGGUAGCGCAUCCGACUCCAGGUCAGAAGGUUAUGUGUUCGAUUCACGUCAGGUCUAACUGUCGAUAUUUAACAGUGUUCUUCUAAUAAUUCGAGUGUUGUUUUCUAUUUUAGUUGAGAUUCUUACAGUUUAGACUGUUAUCUUGGUUUUUGUAUAUAAGUUGUACUGAGCAGGCAGGAAACUUAUGCUCUGUAUGCAGUGCAUAUUUUACGCGUGUGAGGUAAGUCAGUUUGGUAUGCCGUGAAUUCAUUAUUUUUGUUGGUCGUAAUGUUGCUGAACACUUUUUUACAGACUCUUCGAAUAUGUUUUUACUA